AACGGACGCUGGCGGCAUGCCUAAUACAUGCAAGUCGAACGAUCACUUCGGUGGUAGUGGCGCACGGGUGCGUAACGCGUGGGAAUCUGCCCUUGGGUUCGGAAUAACGUCGGGAAACUGACGCUAAUACCGGAUGAUGACGUGAGUCCAAAGAUUUAUCGCCCAGGGAUGAGCCCGCGUAGGAUUAGCUAGUUGGUGGGGUAAAGGCCUACCAAGGCGACGAUCCUUAGCUGGUCUGAGAGGAUGAUCAGCCACACUGGGACUGAGACACGGCCCAGACUCCUACGGGAGGCAGCAGUAGGGAAUAUUGGACAAUGGGGGCAACCCUGAUCCAGCAAUGCCGCGUGAGUGAUGAAGGCCUUAGGGUUGUAAAGCUCUUUUACCCGGGAUGAUAAUGACAGUACCGGGAGAAUAAGCCCCGGCUAACUCCGUGCCAGCAGCCGCAGUAA
rnacentral:rRNA from 1 species